rnacentral:rRNA from 1 species
AUGGGUGUACCUAAAACACAGCAGAAAAUUCGUUCAUGCGAGAAUCGUCUGCCGAGGUGGGUGAUGGAUUGGCUUGCAACAAGUCGACAGAGUAAUUGUCGUGCAGUUACAGAUGCGAUAUGCUCGCUGGAGCCAUGCCAACAGAGGGGUCCAUGCGGAGGUGGUAUAUCUGAAACCUGCAGUCGCCUCGUGACGUCGCUCAGACUGACUUACAUAUCUGCGAUGGCCUCGUGCCCGUGGUGCCCAAGAUAUAUGGCUGGCAGGACUGAAACCAUCCAUUCUUCCUUCACUCAUCACAGAGUCGUAAUAAUCCUGGAAUGUCUGCACGCCAUUGUUGUUGGCUUUACGAGGUGA